UCUGGUAAUGAUGGCAGAGAGGUCCACACCCGUUCCCAUACCGAACACGGAAGUUAAGCUCUCUAGCGCCGAUGGUAGUUGGGACCUUGUCCCUGUGAGAGUAGGACGUUGCCAGGC
rnacentral:rRNA from 1 species